rnacentral:rRNA from 1 species
ACACAUGCAAGUCGAACGAGCGAGAGAGAGCUUGCUUUCUCGAGCGAGUGGCGAACGGGUGAGUAACGCGUGAGGAACCAGCCUCAAAGAGGGGGACAACAGUUGGAAACGACUGCUAAUACCGCAUAAGCCCACGGGUCGGCAUCGACCAGAGGGAAAAGGAGUGAUCCGCUUUGAGAUGGCCUCGCGUCCGAUUAGCUAGUUGGUGAGGUAACGGCCCACCAAGGCGACGAUCGGUAGCCGGACUGAGAGGUUGAACGGCCACAUUGGGACUGAGACACGGCCCAGACUCCUACGGGAGGCAGCAGUGGGGAAUAUUGCACAAUGGGGGAAACCCUGAUGCAGCGACGCCGCGUGGAGGAAGAAGGUCUUCGGAUUGUAAACUCCUGUUGUUGGGGAAGAUAAUGACGGUACCCAACAAGGAAGUGACGGCUAACUACGUGCCAGCAGCCGCGGUAAAACGUAGGUCACAAGCGUUGUCCGGAAUUACUGGGUGUAAAGGGAGCGCAGGCGGGAAGACAAGUUGGAAGUGAAAUCCAUGGGCUCAACCCAUGAACUGCUUUCAAAACUGUUUUUCUUGAGUAGUGCAGAGGUAGGCGGAAUUCCCGGUGUAGCGGUGGAAUGCGUAGAUAUCGGGAGGAACACCAGUGGCGAAGGCGGCCUACUGGGCACCAACUGACGCUGAGGCUCGAAAGUGUGGGUAGCAAACAGGAUUAGAUACCCUGGUAGUCCACACCGUAAACGAUGAUUACUAGGUGUUGGAGGAUUGACCCCUUCAGUGCCGCAGUUAACACAAUAAGUAAUCCACCUGGGGAGUACGACCGCAAGGUUGAAACUCAAAGGAAUUGACGGGGGCCCGCACAAGCAGUGGAGUAUGUGGUU